rnacentral:rRNA from 1 species
UACGGAGGGGGUUAGCGUUGUUCGGAAUUACUGGGCGUAAAGCGCACUUAGGCCGACUAUUAAGUCAGGGGUGAAAUCCCGGGGCUCAACCCCGGAACUGCCCUUGAUACUGGCAGUCUAGAGUUCGAGAGAGGUGAGCGGAAUUCCGAGUGUAGAGGUGAAAUUCGUAGAUAUUCGGAGGAACACCAGUGGCGAAGGAGGCUCACUGGCUCGAUAAUGACGAUGAGGUGCGACAGCGUGGGGAGCAAACAGG